AGCAGUGGGGAAUUUUGCACAAUGGGCGCAAGCCUGAUGCAGCGACGCCGCGUGAGGGAUGAAGGCCUUCGGGUUGUAAACCUUUUUCGCUCAUGGUCAAGCCGCAGCUUUGGGUUGUGGUGAGGGUAGCGGGUAAAGAAGCGCGGCUAACUACAUGCCAGCAGCCGCGGUAAUACGU
rnacentral:rRNA from 1 species